rnacentral:piRNA from 1 species
CUGGGAGCAGGGUUGAGUCAGAU